CAAGACCAAAGAGGGGGACCUUUCGGGCCUCUUGCCAUCAGAUGUGCCCAGAUGGGAUUAGCUAGUAGGUGGGGUAACGGCUCACCUAGGCGACGAUCCCUAGCUGGUCUGAGAGGAUGACCAGCCACACUGGAACUGAGACACGGUCCAGACUCCUACGGGAGGCAGCAGUGGGGAAUAUUGCACAAUGGGCGCAAGCCUGAUGCAGCCAUGCCGCGUGUAUGAAGAAGGCCUUCGGGUUGUAAAGUACUUUCAGCGGGGAGGAAGGCGUUGAGGUUAAUAACCUCAGCGAUUGACGUUACCCGCAGAAGAAGCACCGGCUAACUCCGUGCCAGCAGCCGCGGUAAUACGGAGGGUGCAAGCGUUAAUCGGAAUUACUGGGCGUAAAGCGCACGCAGGCGGUCUGUCAAGUCGGAUGUGAAAUCCCCGGGCUCAACCUGGGAACUGCAUUCGAAACUGGCAGGCUAGAGUCUUGUAGAGGGGGGUAGAAUUCCAGGUGUAGCGGUGAAAUGCGUAGAGAUCUGGANGNGAAUACCGGUGGCGAAGGCGGCCCCCUGGACAAAGACUGACGCUCAGGUGCGAAAGCGUGGGGAGCAAACAGGAUUAGAUACCCUGGUAGUCCACGCCGUAAACGAUGUCGACUUGGAGGUUGUGCCCUUGAGGCGUGGCUUCCGGAGCUAACGCGUUAAGUCGACCGCCUGGGGAGUACGNGCNCNGCAAGGUUAAAACUCAAAUGAAUUGACGGGGGCCCGCACAAGCGGUGGAGCAUGUGGUUUAAUUCGAUGCAACGCGAAGAACCUUACCUACUCUUGACAUCCAGAGAACUUUCCAGAGAUGGAUUGGUGCCUUCGGGAACUCUGAGACAGGUGCUGCAUGGCUGUCGUCAGCUCGUGUUGUGAAAUGUUGGGUUAAGUCCCGCAACGAGCGCAACCCUUAUCCUUUGUUGCCAGCGGUCCGGCCGGGAACUCAAAGGAGACUGCCAGUGAUAAACUGGAGGAAGGUGGGGAUGACGUCA
rnacentral:rRNA from 2 species